GAAACCUGAUGCUAUGACACACCAAGCAGAUUCUUAAAAGUUUGCAUAGCAGUGAGACACUAUUUGUGGCUCUUCUGUCACAUGGGUACUUGAACUGGAAUAAUUCUCAUUGGACACAGUAAAAUCUACAAGGCUGAACUAUAAGAACUUGGGUCUGGAAAGGCCUAAGGGAAUAUUCUGGAAGAAGCAUCCAUUAAAAAACAUGUUCAUAAAUACUUAUGAAAGACAUUGGGUCUGAGGAAGUGAACUUGUCCAUGAAAGCUCACAUUAAAAUACAGCAUUUAGUUUUUAAGGUA